ensembl:misc_RNA Metazoa_SRP Metazoan signal recognition particle RNA
GCUGGGUGUGGUGGUGCAUGCCUGUAAUCCCAGCUACUCGGGAAGCUGAGGCAGGAGGGUUGCUUGAGUCCAGGAGUUCGAGGCUGCAGUGAGCUAUCGUCGUGCCACUGCACUGAAGCCUGGGCAACAAAGUGAGACUCUGUCUCUA